ACACUGAUUGCUCAGUACGGCGAGUGAAGCGGCAAAAGCUCAAAUUUUAAAGCUGGCAUCUUCGGUGUCCGCGUUGUAAUUUUGUGAGGCAUCUCCGGGUAGGGCGCCGGCCUAAGUUCCUUGGAACAGGACGUCACAGAGGGUGAGAAUCCCGUGCUUGGCUGGCUGUCCCCGUCCAUGUGAGGUGUCUUCGACGAGUCGAGUUGUUUGGGAAUGCAGCUCAAAAUGGGUGGUAAAUUUCAUCUAAAGCUAAAUAUUGGUGGGAGACCGAUAGCGCACAAGUAGAGUGAUCGAAAGAUGAAAAGCACUUUGAAAAUAGAGUUAAAAAGUACGUGAAAUUGUUGAAAGGGAAGCGCUUGAGACCAGACUUCGGUAGGGGGUGAUCAGCCGUGCUUCGGUGCGGUGCACUUGUUCCUCUCUGGGCCAGCAUCGGUUGAGGCGGCGGGAUAAAGGUCCCGGGAAUGUGGCUCCUUCACGGGAGUGUUAUAGCCCGGGUGAAUGCCGCCAGCUUCGACCGAGGACCGCGCCCGCAAGGGUUAGGAUGCUUGGCAUAAUGGUCUUCAGCGACCCGUCUUGAACCACGGGACCA
rnacentral:rRNA from 1 species